CCUACGGGAGGCAGCAGUAGGGAAUCUUCCACAAUGGGCGAAAGCCUGAUGGAGCAACGCCGCGUGGGUGAAGAAGGUCUUCGGAUCGUAAAACCCUGUUGUUAGAGAAGAAAGUGCGUGAGAGUAACUGUUCACGUUUCGACGGUAUCUAACCAGAAAGCCACGGCUAACUACGUGCCAGCAGCCGCGGUAAUACGUAGGUGGCAAGCGUUAUCCGGAUUGAUUGGGCGUAAAGGGAACGCAGGGGGUCUUUUAAGUCUGAUGUGAAAGCCUUCGGCUUAACCGGAGUAGUGCAUUGGAAACUGGGAGACUUGAGUGCAGAAGAGGAGAGUGGAACUCCAUGUGUAGCGGUGAAAUGCGUAGAUAUAUGGAAGAACCCCAGUGGCGAAAGCGGCUCUCUGGUCUGUAACUGACGCUGAGGUUCGAAAGCGUGGGUAGCAAACAGGAUUAGAUACCCGGGUAGUC
rnacentral:rRNA from 1 species